GAUAGGCCAGUGAGCUGGGACAAGUAGAAUAGGGAAACUGAGCAGAAAUCCUAUCUUCCCUAAACCAAUGACACUUGGGAGUAAAUGCUUUGCAUUUGCCUCCCUAAGCAAAGGUUAAAUAGAUCAUGUCAAUCUGAUUAGUGUCAUUUGCUGUCCACACCCAAGGACAAAUGAAGUUAGAAAAUAAGCCUUAUUUUGAUUAGUUCUUUUAUUCAGGUAUUUUUUAAGGAGGAGGUAACCUGGUCCCUCCCCGCAACAUGGGUAAUAGCUCCUCCUCAAACUCGACUGUCUUAGAAUGAAUUGUCUUCCUCUAACUCACAAUAGGAAAUAAUACAGGCCGGUGUCAUUUGGCUUGCUGGUUAAAGGAA